GAUGUAGCUCAGUGCUGGAGCAUCUGCUUGGCAUGCAGAAGGGUCCCUGGCUCGAUCCCCAGGUAGGGCUG